GCGGCAGGCCUAACACAUGCAAGUCGAACGCUGUAACAAUACAGAGUGGCAGACGGGUGAGUAACGCGUGGGAACGUGCCUUUCGGUUCGGAAUAACUCAGGGAAACUUGAGCUAAUACCGGAUACGCCCUUCGGGGGAAAGAUUUAUUGCCGAAAGAUCGGCCCGCGUCCGAUUAGCUAGUUGGUGAGGUAACGGCCCACCAGGGCGACGAUCGGUAGCUGGUCUGAGAGGAUGAUCAGCCACACUGGGACUGAGACACGGCCCAGACUCCUACGGGAGGCAGCAGUGGGGAAUAUUGGACAAUGGGCGCAAGCCUGAUCCAGCCAUGCCGCGUGAGUGAUGAAGGCCCUAGGGUUGUAAAGCUCUUUCGCCAGGGACGAUAAUGACGGUACCUGGAUAAGAAGCCCCGGCUAACUUCGUGCCA
rnacentral:rRNA from 1 species